UACGUAGGGACCAAGCGUUGUUCGGAUUUACUGGGCGUAAAGGGCGCGUAGGCGGCUUGACAAGUCACUUGUGAAAUCUCCGGGCUUAACUCGGAACGGCCAAGUGAAACUGUCAUGCUAGAGUGCAGAAGGGGCAAUCGGAAUUCUUGGUGUAGCGGUGAAAUGCGUAGAUAUCAAGAGGAACACCUGCGGCGAAGGCGGGUUGCUGGGCCGACACGUGACGCUGAGGCGCGAAAGCCAGGGGAGCGAACGGG
rnacentral:rRNA from 1 species